rnacentral:rRNA from 1 species
AUUGAACGCUGGCGGUAGGCCUAACACAUGCAAGUCGAGCGGCUGAACUGUGCUUGCUCCCGGAUUCAGCGGCGGACGGGCGGUUCAUGCCGAGUUAGCUGCUUUUUCUUGGGGGCUAACGUCUGAAUACGGGCACUACUACCGUAUUCGCCCUGAGGGAGAACGUGGUGGAACUUUGGACCUCCGGCCCUCAGGUGAGCCUAGGUCGGUUUAGCUAGUUGGUGGGGUGACGGCGUACCUAGGCGACGAUCCGUCACUUAGCUGAGAGGAUGAGCAGUCACACUGGAACUGAGACACGGUCCAGACUCCUACGGGAGGCAGCAGUGAGGAAUAUUGGACAAUGGGCGAAAGCCUGAUUCAGCCAUGCCGCGUGUGUGAAGAAGGUCUUCGGGUUGUAAAGCUCUUUGAGUAGGAAAGAACGGCAGCAAGUUAAUACCUUGCUGUUUUGACGGUACCAGCAGAAUAAGCACCGGCUAACUUCGUG